CUUGCUUCUCUUGAGAGCGGCGGACGGGUGAGUAAUGCCUAGGAAUCUGCCUGGUAGUGGGGGAUAACGUUCGGAAACGGACGCUAAUACCGCAUACGUCCUACGGGAGAAAGCAGGGGACCUUCGGGCCUUGCGCUAUCAGAUGAGCCUAGGUCGGAUUAGCUAGUUGGUGGGGUAAUGGCUCACCAAGGCGACGAUCCGUAACUGGUCUGAGAGGGUGAUCAGUCACACUGGAACUGAGACACGGUCCAGACUCCUACGGGAGGCAGCAGUGGGGAAUAUUGGACAAUGGGCGAAAGCCUGAUCCAGCCAUGCCGCGUGUGUGAAGAAGGUCUUCGGAUUGUAAAGCACUUUAAGUUGGGAGGAAGGGUUGUAGAUUAAUACUCUGCAAUUUUGACGUUACCGACAGAAUAAGCACCGGCUAACUCUGUGCCAGCAGCCGCGGUAAUACAGAGGGUGCAAGCGUUAAUCGGAAUUACUGGGCGUAAAGCGCGCGUAGGUGGUUUGUUAAGUUGGAUGUGAAAUCCCCGGGCUCAACCUGGGAACUGCAUUCAAAACUGACUGACUAGAGUAUGGUAGAGGGUGGUGGAAUUUCCUGUGUAGCGGUGAAAUGCGUAGAUAUAGGA
rnacentral:rRNA from 1 species